CAUGAAACAUCAAAUGAUUACGCAGUGGCAUCUGCUCAUUAUGAAUUGAGUGUUUCAGAUCUACUAAAUAAUAAAUGUUGAAAGGACACAAAGUUUAAAUGAUACAUUUAAUAUCAAUUCAGCAAACAUCAUAUGAUAGAAAUGGAACAUUCAGGGUAAGGCCGAACAAUGUCCAGAAGGCACAAUUUAUAAGUACAGAGAAAUCAAUUCAUGAUUUCUUCUAGCAAUUCUAUGAAUAAAGAUAAGCUACAAGAUUAUUUCUCCUUUCAUACUUUAAAAAAUAAAGUAAUCUCUACACCCAACAUGGUGUUUGAACUCAGGACCUGGAGAUCAGGAGUCCCAUGUUCUUCCAACUGAGCCAACCAGGGUGGUUGUGAUCUCAAUAACCAUCAAAACGGUAUUUCCUGUUUCUGAGAGACCUGCAUUGAUUAGUCAGGGUUCACAAGGAAGGAGAAAUAGAAAAGGAGACAACGUAGAAGACAAAGAGGCUAUCUCUAACUUGAACUUGUUCAGCAAAUUUUAUCUGCAUUAGUAGCCAUGGCAACUUCAGGAUAAAUAUUGAGUGUUGGCCUUCCAACUGUUAAAAACCUUCUCCUAGGAGGUGCAACUGCAUGUCCUGAUACCUCUAUAUCUUUGUAAAAUCCAGCUGUCUUCUGAGGUUACCUGAAAAUAAUGUAUCAGUCAUAAUGCCUUUGACCACAAGUUUGGAUAAUAAACAAUAUAGUCACCUUUACUAUGGUGCAUUGCCCCAGAGGACGAAUAACUGAAGCACCCUCAGAUGUAAUUAGAAGCAUUAAGAGUCAGAUGGACCUGGAUUUAUAUCUUCCAAUGUGAGCCCUGACCAGGCUGAGAACACAGCUGCUGGCACUCCAGCCUCCUUUGGGAAGAAUCAGCCUUAUGGUGUUUUGAACGUCUUGGCUCAGCGUCCUUUUCUGUCAUUCUGUUAAUAAAGAAGAUUGUGGGGAGGCUUGCUGAAUCCUUUUUCCUCCAUAAACAGAGACAUCAGAUUCCAGAGCUUGAUUUGGCAUUUUUCUCACAUACCCAGUCUAACUCCCCAUGAUGCUCAGUCUUGGGGAUGAAAGAAGGAUAGCAACAACGUAUUUUUUCAUGGAUAUUCAUUUAUCUUUCUAUUUUGCUUCUACUACCUCCUUCUGAUAUUCUCACCUAUAAAUAAGAGAAUUUUUAUUUCCUCUGAAGUGAAGAAUGCAAUUUGAGAAAUAUCCUACCUUCAUUGUAUAAGGCAUUUACUUUAUACGUUUCAGAUCUUUGCCUUUUCAGACUCAAAACUCUUUAUGGUGAUGUGUUUAUUUUUUCAAAUUUUUCAGUAUAAAAGAAUAACUCUACACAUUAAGUUAAGGACUGCUAAUUUCUAAUGCUUUUUAGCAGUGCCUAAGGCU